GACCAGGGCACUAACCCGUGUCUCCUGCAUCGGCAGGCAGACUCUCAACCACUACGCCACCAGGGAAGCCCUAAAAUAAAUUUUUUUAAACAGCCUUUAAACAGAAGAUUCUAAAAGCUGUAUCUGGGUAGAGCAGUAGGUAACAUAUGUUCUCCUAUUGUUCUAGUCUAGAGUGAAUACCAACUUUAAAAAUCUUCCAAGAAACUCCUGGUUUAGUUCCAGAAAUAUGAAGAAGAGAGUCAUGCGGAAAUUCUUGUGGGAUUUGCUUUGUUUCCCAGAGAAGGGCAAACAGAGUCAACGGGAGAAAAGGAAGGAGAAGUCGAAAGCAAAGGUCCAGUUCUGCCCGUCCACCUCCACAUCUGGGUGAGAAAAAAACAGAAGGAAGCAGAUGAAGAAACUAAGGUCCAAGGUGAAGAUGGUUAAACAGUGAAAGACACAAGACACGGAUGCACACCUGAUUUGGUUCCAAAUAGAUGUCUGGCUCAACCAGGAACAGAUAGAGAAUGAAAGCUGUGUCUCCUGGAGGCUCUCGGGCAGGGUGCAGCUCCACACUGGCCGGGGAGGCUUCAGCCCAGCCUGGCACCGUGCAGCCUUCCAGGGCACUGUACAGAUGGCCUCUGGGAGCAACCCCUGCCUUAUACGGCAGGGCCUGUCUGGAGAGCUAGCCUCUGAAAAAAUACUGGGUACUGGGAAUUGCUGGAACGAAAAAGAUGAGUGCCAGACAAAGGUCCAUGGGGACCUGCUUCAAAUAUUGAAGCUCUCUCCUGGAGAAAACAGAGGACAGGAGUGACCAGGAUGAAUGACAGACUUCUCCACUGGAAAAGAAAGUGAUCAGAAGCUGGAGCCCAGGGCAUAGCUAACGGGGUAGUUGUUCAUACAGGAUCUGUUUCCCGCAAGAAGGACCAGAAGUGCCUCUUCCCAGGAGGGGAAUGACACCUUCUCGCUUCCCCUGCCCCAGACAGACUGACCGUCGGAUUACCUGACCUGGGAGAUAACCUUUCAGGGCCAACCCAGCUGGCUGGCGAGUGGGGAGCAAAGUCCCUCGAAGUUCUCGAAUGCUUUCCAUUGGGCCGAUCUGGACCCGUCCUCCACGUGUGAAAACUGAGGCUCUGUGGAGUUAAGCCCCUUGUCCAGGAUGGAAUGCUUGCAAACGGUAAGGCUGCGAUGGAUACUCAGUCAUUCUGACUCUGGAAGCCAGACUGGAUAUUGCCAUGUCCCCACAUGGUCGUUUAUUACCUCCCUUACACGAGGGGCCUUUCCCCUGCCUAAAUGGACCUCCUGCCCUCCAUCAGGUCACCCUGUUCAUUUCCUCCACAGCACUUCCCUGGUUGGAAAUUAAGUUGUUUACUUUGGUACUGUUUGUUUAUUUUUUGUCUGUUCCCCUUCCCCAGCACUGGGCUGUCAGCCAGACUCCUGUCUGUUCAGUUCACCACUGAACCCCCAUUGCUUAGCACAGUUCUCAAUUCUAGGACUCAGUACGUAUAUGUUGAAGGAAUACAUUUAACCCAGUCCCUGGACUGGGGGGCACAGAGGUAAGAAGGCGGGGAUAGGGGAGUCCCUUCUCCUCCAGUGGCCACCAAAAGGGUAUGAGCCCCGCAGGUCACCAGCUUCCUCCGGUUUCAAGUUCUUCACUCUCCUGCGCACAUGUGGGAUACAUAGUAGGUGCCAGUAAGCGCUCGGUACACCUGCUUUGGCUUGCGGAUGUCUUGACACCAGCAAGGAAAUGCCUUCCUGGCCCUUGUGGCUCCUCGUGAACAAGAUUCACGUUAUUGCACCUUCUGCGUGCAUCGCUCAUGCUGCCCUCUCGCCUCCAUCCUCUCCCCUGAUCCUUGCAGGAGCUGAGGGACCUGAGCAGGGCUGGUCUCUCCCUCCCAGAGAGCGACUGGCCCGAGACGGUAGAACUGGUAAGGGCCAGGCCUGUCUGACUCUAAAUCUCUUGCUCCCUCCAGCUCCCAUGGCCAGACUCUCGUCCCAGCCCCUCCUGGGUGGAGCCGAGGCUCGACUUGUGCUUCCCACAGGGUCAGGAGGUGAAGGCUCAGCCUGCCCUGGGAAACAAACAGAGAGACCACCAGGAGGGUCCCUCUCUUCCCACCCAGAAGCUUCUCAGAGAUUCCCGCAGCGCAGCCUGCCACCCCUGCCUUCGCCUUCCCACACCCCCACCAUUUCCCUUCCACAGAGAGUCACCAGUCCU